AUUGAACGCUGGCGGCAGGCCUAACACAUGCAAGUCGAGCGAGCGGCGGACGGGUGAGUAAUGUAUGGGGACUGCCCGAUAGAGGGGGAUAACUACUGGAAACGGUGGCUAAUAUCGCAUACUACCUCAUAACCCACAUGGGAUUAGCUAGUAGGUAAGGUAAUGGCUUACCUAGGCGACGAUCCCUAGCUGGUCUGAGAGGAUGAUCAGACACACUGGGACUGAGACACGGCCCAGACUCCUACGGAGGCAGCAGUGGGGAAUAUUGCACAAUGGGCGCAAGCCUGAUAAAGCCAUGCCGCGUGUAUGAAGAAGGCCCUAGGGUUGUAAAGUACUUUCAGUCGGGAGGCGUUACCGACAGAAGAAGCACCGGCUAACUCCGUGCCAGCAGCCGCGGUAAUAC
rnacentral:rRNA from 1 species